rnacentral:rRNA from 1 species
UAUAGAUGAGUCCGCGCUCCAUUAGCUAGUUGGCGGGGUAAAAGCCCACCAAGGCUCCGAUGGAUAGCCGGCCUGAGAGGGUGAUCGGCCACACUGGGACUGAGAUACGGCCCAGACUCCUACGGGAGGCAGCAGUAGGGAAUAUUGCGCAAUGGACGAAAGUCUGACGCAGCAACGCCGCGUGGAUGAUGAAGCAUUUCGGUGUGUAAAAUCCUGUUGGUGGGGAAGAAACGUCUGGUGAGUAACUGCUCCAGGCUUGACGGUACCCACAGAGGAAGUCCCGGCUAACUCCGUGCCAGCAGCCGCGGUAAUACGGGGGGGACGAGCGUUGUUCGGAUUUACUGGGCGUAAAGGGCGCGUAGGCGGGUCUUCAAGUCGGAUGUGAAAACUAUCAGCUUAACUGGUAGCCUGCAUUUGAUACUGUUGAUCUUGAGUACGGGAGAGGAGAGUGGAAUUCCAGGUGUAGCGGUGAAAUGCGUAGAUAUCUGGAAGAACACCAGUAGCGAAGGCGGCUCUCUGGACCGAUACUGACGCUCAAGCGCGAAGGCUUGGGGAGCAAACAGGAUUAGAUACCCUGGUAGUCCAAGCGGUAAACUAUGGGUACUAGAUGUCGGGGGUAUCGACCCCCCCGGUGUCGCAGCUAACGCAGUAAGUACCCCGCCUGGGGAGUACGAUCGCAAGAUUGAAACUCAAAGAAAUUGACGGGGGCCCGCACAAGCGGUGGAGUAUGUGGUUUAAUUCGAAGCAACGCGCAGAACCUUACCUGGGUUUGACAUGCACGAGACAGGCGGUGAGAGUCGCCCUUC